GUGCUCGCUUCAGCAGGACAUAUACUAAAAUUGGAGAGAUACAGAGAUUAGCAUGGCCCCUAUGCAAGGAUGACAUGCAAAUUCGUGAAGUAUUCCAUAUUUUU
ensembl:snRNA U6 U6 spliceosomal RNA